UAUUCAUGUAGCAAACCUGUGCAUGUACCGCUGAACCUAAAAUAAAAGUUGGAAGAAAAUAAAAGGUUGAGACUUGUCCACUGUAAAGUUAAAAAAAAAAUUCUGAAAGAAAUCAAAGAUCUAAAUAAAUGAAAAGACAACUAAAUUCAAGGAUAACACAAUUUAAUUUUGACAAGAUCACAAUAUUCCACAAAUAAAUCUGCAGAUUCAAUGCAAUUCCUGUUGAAAUCCCAUCUGUCUUUUUACAGAAAUUGACCGAGCAACCCCAAAAUAUACAUUUAAAUGCAAAGAAAGUCAAAUAAGCUAAUAAAUAUUAGAAAUAAAAACAGUUUUUUGAAAAGUUAACCCUGCUUUCGGAACCCAAGGCAAAAACAAACUCUGGCAAACUAAAAGAAUUGAUAUUACAAAUGCACAUAAAGAUUCCGUGACAUACUCUAGAUAACAAUGAUGCUGUUCCCUUUCAUGCAUAGCAGCUCCAGAGCCUAUUUACCCUUGAACAAAAGGCACAAAAUUUAAACCUUCGAACACUUUUACCAAUAUUUCAAAGCCAAGGUCCAAAUAUAUUUAACAUUGCCACUUAUAAAUAUUUCUGUGGCUCUCACAAAACAUCACUCUGACUAGAGUCUAUCUACAAAAAAAAAAUAAUAACAACAAAAAAAACUUAUUAAGUGUCUCACCUUCAAUGUACAAUGUUUCAAAAGCAUUACUUAUGUCUCUGGUAUUUAUUUUAAAAGAAUAAUUUUCUUAACUCUAUGAGAAAAUGCUGUCAAAUAGGUUGGUUUUGAAAAAGCAUUAGUUUCAAAAACCUGGUAAUUGUUACUGCUUUCUUCAUAUCUAAAAGUCUUUAUUCUUACACACACACACACACACACACACACACAGACACACACACUAAGACCCAGGUAGAUAACUUCGUGAGCAUUGGGACUGAACACAAUUUCUCGUAAGUAGGUUACUUACAGGUAUUGACCCUUAUUAUUCUUACAUAUAUAAUAAUAGAAGCAAGUAACUUUAUGCUCCUAUUGUGUAAUGUGCUACUUAUUACAGCCAUGAAUUUCCAUUCCUCAGGGGUCAAACACUGAAUCUUUCUGAGGAAUCCAAUUAGUUCCUUCUAUAAAUUCAAUGUAGAGAAAUCCCUGAAGACUUUUUGAAAUUCAUGUAACCCAGAAUAAAGAAAUAGGUCUGGCCAGGAACGGUGGCUCAUGCCUAUAAUCCCAGCACUUUGGGAGGCCAGGGCGGGUGGAUCAUCUGAGGUCAGGAGUUCGAGACCAGCCUGGCCAACAUGGUGAAACCCCAUCUCUACUAAAAAUACAAAAAUUCGCCGGGGCGUGGUGGUUUGUGCCUAUAAUCCCAGCUACUUGGGAGGCUGAGGCAAGAGAAUCACUUGAACCUGGGAGGCGGAGGUUGUAGUGAGCUGAGAUAGCACCAUUGCACUCCAGCCUGGGCAACAAGAGUGAAACUCCAUCAGAAAGAAAGGAAGAAAGGAACAAAGGAAGAAAGGAAGAAAGAAAGAAAGAAAGAAAGAAAGAAAGAAAGAAAGAAAGAAAGAAAGAAAGAAAGAAAGAAAGAAAGAAAGAAAGAAAGAAAGAGAAAGAAGAAAGAGAGAGAAAGAAAGAAGAAAGAAAAAAGGAAGAAAGAAAGAAAGAAGGAAAGAAAGAAAGAAAAAGAAAGAGAAAGAAAUCUGUAAGAUGUAUCUGAUGCAAAAUUGAGAAGCAGUUCUAGGUAUUCUCCAAACUAUCCCUUUCAUUCCCUGUGCCCUCUCCAGGUGCAGAUUUUUCUAAAACAAGAGCAUUUUAAACAUUCCUCUUUUGCACAGCCCAUUUACAAAGCCUGGAAACAUCCCUACAAUGAUUAGUUGCACUUAUCAACUUAGCUAGGUUAUGGUCACCAGAAAUUCAAUCAAACACUAACCUAGAUGUUGCUAUGACAGUACUGUGUAGAUUUGAUUAAAUUCCAUACUCAGUUGACUUUAAGUAAGAGAGAUUAUCUUAGGAAAUCUGAAUAGGACUGAUUUAAUCAGUUGAGCUGUAAGAGUGGAGUUGAUGCUUCCUUAAUAAAGAAGAAAUUCCACCUGUGGACAGCAGAUUUUUGCUACCCAUGCCUGAGAGUUCAGUCUAUCCUAAAUAUUUUGGACUUGCCACAAUCAUGUAAACCAAUUCCUUGCAAUUCCUUGCAAUAAACUUCUUAAUUUAUUAAGGAGUAAAUUAAGGAAUUUAUUUAUCAAGGAAUAAAUUGCAAGGAAUUUAUUGCAAUUCCUUGCAAUAAACCUCUUAGUAUAUAUCUCCUCCUGGUUCUGUUUCUCUGGCUGAAUGCUGAUGAAUACAGGCCCAACAAUAUGUGCAUAUAUUUCCUUUUUUAAUUCACAAAAGUAAGAUAUUUUAAUUUCAGUGAAUUGAGACUAUUCUUUUCCACUCUGACUUGCCCCCUGCCACACCGGUGCAGUAGUGUUUCAGUGGCCACAGAUAUUCUGAGGAUCUUGCUCAGAAGAAGUUGAGUUAGAGAUAUAUUUAGCUUGAGUUUACUAGAAUUUAUUUAUAAUUCACAGUCACAUCCAUGGAUAAUUAUUUCUAGCCACACCUUCCAGAAAUAUUAUUACUAUCACUGUGAAAAUACACCUGGGUUUUGAUUCAAAGUAUCUAGAGAUCAUAUCAGAAUAUGAACAUGUCCUAGAGCAUCUGGGGCCAGAUAUAUGUGGGUAGUGAAAAUUUUAAAAAGUUGAAAUGCAUGAGCCAGAGCUGGUCAGUGGAAAAGUUUUCCAGUUGUCAGGCAUGUAAAAUGUAAGCAAAGGAGAUGAUGAUGCUCAUGAACGUUUUAUGAAAACAAGAACAUAUUAAAUAACACAUUGUAUGUACAAUCAUGAAUGCACAGUGCAACUUUUUUCUUUUUUGAUGGAAAUUACAUACAUAGAAUUUAUCAUAAUCUCUAUACUUAUAGAGUAUGAACUUGUAGCGGCACUGUAAAUAGUGUCUAAAGUUUCCUAUGUUUUGCCUUUCAACAGUCAGUAAUAAAAAGGUAAAUUUCAAUUAAUCAUGCUAAGGAAAUAUUGAAUUAUCAUUUCAUUCUCUUUCUGCAAAAUGUUUCUUAUGAAGAAGUGAUCACGGGGUCAAAACUCCAGACAAAAAAGUAUUUGACAAGUGUGUUAGAUAGCUAAUGAUUAUGCAAUUUUUCUUGAUUUUUGUGACAUUUGUUGAAUUUACCACCUUUUAAAAAUUUGUAACUUGUCAUUUCUUUUUCAUUCCAGAUAGAUAUUCAUUUUUGUGAAUAUAAAAUCAUGAAUUUAUAAUUUCAAAUUUCUUUCCUUAAAGAGAGCUCUUCAAAUUGUAUAAUUUUUUUUUGAGACAGAGUAUUGCUCAGUAGCCCAGGCUGGAGUGCAGUGGUGCCAUCUCAGCUCACUGCAAGCUCUGCCUCCUGGGUUCACACCAUUCUCCUGCCUCAGCCUCCCGAGUAGCUGGGACUACAGGCGCCCACCACCACGCCUGGAUAAUUUUUUUUUUAUUUUUAGUAGAGACGUGGUUUCACCAUGUUCACCAGGAUGGUCUCGACCUCCUGACCUCGUGAUCCACCCCCCUAGGCCUCCCAAAGUGCUGGGAUUACAGGUGUGAGCCACCGCGCCCAGCCCAAAUUGUAUAAUCUUGAAUUCUCACAAAUUCGAGAUCUUCCCACGCACCUCUGUGUGUGUGUUUGUUUUGGUGUCCCUUAACACUUUCCCUGCUUCAUCACACUGCCCAGAGCUUCCCACUGGGAACAUACUCUCACCUCCUUAAUUCCCAUUUCCUUUUUCUUACCCAAACAGGAAGGAGUAGCCACUAUUCAUGCCAUUGUCAAAACCUCAUGGCAACAAAACUUCCAGGGCUGGAAUUGCAAAGAUGAUUACAAAGGGGAGCUCCACAAUCAGGUGAUCCAGCAUUGAUAAGGUGUUUGGACUUGAUUAUAUGAAACGAGAUUUCUAUAAUUACUAGAGCUUGUUCUUUAAUAUGCAUUAUUUUAGGGUUAUCUUCUCUGCUAGAAAUUAUAAAACAGUUUGAGCUAAAGACGCAAAGCUAAAUAAGCCCCAAUGUGUGCUAUGUUAAUAUAACAUUCCAAACAACUCACAUCUAAAGAAUAUGAAGAUCUGCCAUUAUUUUAGAAUUAUGAGAUUUUUAUAAGAAUAAAUUUGCCUUGGGCAAAUGGCACCAGUAAAUGGCACUGAUCUAAAAAAUAAAAAAAGCAAACAUUCUACUAUAUGUAAAAAUCUGAAAUGAUAUCUGCUCUGGUUUGGGGGGAAGGUUGCUGUUUUUUUAAAAAAAAUAUGAUCAUGGAGAUAAUUAAGUGAUUAACGGAAUAUGGUACUGAAAAAGUGUAACCUAUUCUAAUAUGAUGAGAUAGAUCCCCACACAAUAGUUUAGGAAUCUUAUUCUAAGUAAUACUUAGGCAAUAUCUUAUUCUAAGUAAUGCUUAGGCUUUGCUGCUAAUGCUUAUUGAAGGGAGUGAUGGAUCUGAGUAUGCUACUUUGUGUGCCAUUGAAUGUCUGCUCUGAGAAGCAGGAAAGUAAACCCAGCAUUGUAGUGAUAGUCUUUGGAAUGAAGCUCAUGGUGAGAACCAAGAGCAACUCCAGUAGGAAAGAAAGGGCAAGGUCAGAAAGGAGAUUAAGAUCUUGGAAGCAGAGUUGCCCCGGGGUACCUGCUAACUGUUCCUAUGUACCUGCUGUGAGCAGACUAUUGUAUCAGGCAUAUAGGGAGUUUCAAAAAAAUCAGAUCCUGCCCUGAGAAAGAAGAACAUUACCUUCAAGCAGCAUUUACUAAGCUUCUAUCUGUGCAUAUUUUGGGGAAUGGCAGUAUGCCAAGAAAUUUCAACAUAUAUAACCAACACUCAGGGGGUCAAAAUCCAAAACAACACCAAAAUCCUUGGUUUUCUAAAAUGAAUUGUGAAACUUCUUCCUCAGUUAUUGUCUGCUAUGUAUCUAUAGGAAUCGGCUUUCCCUUCUAAAGAAACAGAGACUCCAUAUUUUGCAUGUUUCCUCACACUGUGAUGUGUGCAGUGAGAAUGCAGAGAUGGCUAAGAAUGAUAUUUCCCAAUGCUCCUGCACCUACCUGCACAUGGCUAUCUGACUAAUUCUCACCAAUGAAACAUGAGAGGGAGGGUCCUCCUUUGUGGCCAAGAGUUUUAGGAACCUCAUGUAACUUCUCUAUCUCUUUUCUCCCUUCCACCAGCUAGAGUCAGAUGAUUAUAAGUCCCUGGAAUGAUGAUGCCACAAGAUGGAAGGAGUCUAGCUACAUGAUUCAUUGCAUGGGUAAAAGCCAACUAGGAAUGUCCUUCCUCAAAUUAAUAUAUUACCCAGAGAUAAACACUUACUGCCUGGAAAAAAAUAGCCUGGCUCUUCUUGUUCCACAGCCAAGCAUUAUGUAAUUCAAUGCCCUACAUAAAGGAAUCUAAUACACAUUUACUGAAUUUAAAAUGACAGGCUAAGACAGGCAUUUAAGGUGCUGCAUAGAAUCCCAGGCGCAUUCUAUCUAAUAUAUUGUAGUUACUUAGAGUGAGAGGGGAAGUGAUAGAUAGGAUGAUGUGUAAAUUAGGAGCAAGGUUGAAAUAAAAAGUAGGAAAAUAUUCAAUGUCUGAGUGUCAAAGAGUCAUGUGAGGUGGACAGUUGCAGAGUUGCCGUCUAUCAUCUAUUCCCCAUCCUUACAGAAAUAUCACCACAAUUAUAUUUGAUAAGUCCAGAUUCUCCCACCUUCAGUAACGUUCCUGGUCUCUUCAGGAUAUGAAAGUAAAGUUAGAACUGAUGCAGUCGUUUCACUUCUGCAAGAUAAGGGCCUGUCUGAAAAUGACAUCAACUUGUGGAAUAGAACAAUGCCAAGACACAGAGAUAGAUGAUGUUCAGCCCCAGAAGCCAAGUGGAUCUGAAGUUAGCACUGCCCUAUAUGUGUUUCUUAUAGUAGACCAAUUCCUCUUUGCUUAGGCCAAUUGGAUUAAGUUUUCUGCCAUCCAUAACUAUAAAAGCUCUAACUAAUACAUCAUAGAAGGUUUUGUGGUAUUGAUAAUAUCCUGCCACUUAUGGGUGCAGCUAGUAUUUGUGUCAGAUCCCUCUGAUGGUGAGUCAAGGCCAUUCCAGUGGAGAGCAAGUUGCUGGAAGCUAUAAUACUUGAAAAUGAAAGUCUGGGGUAUGCCAGGACUUUAUUCCCCUUCUCCGUAAAAUCUCCAUUAAUUGUUCUUUUCUAAACCAUCACAAAAUUAAGAAAGAUUAAAAUUCCUUGAUAAGGAUAUUUUCUCAAUUUUAUCCUAACUAUGCUUACAGUAACUUUCUAAAACUUGGCAUCUUAAUUACUCUAUAACAAACAAGAUGAAUAAAAAUAUGUGUGCCAUGCACAUAAAAAUUUCUUUAUAGUUCCCUCAGUCCCUGCUUUCCCACACUCUUACCACUCCUAUGCUUUUCCCAUAUAGAAAUUCUGAAGCUAAAAGUCAAGUUCCAAAAUUCUACUUAAUAGAGAGAACCAAAAGCAUGACCAGAAUGGUUCCUCAGAAUCAGGAGGUGAAACCUAACAUUCGUACUGAGAUUGGAAUUCAGACCCAAGGGCCAGGAGUCAGAUAAGAUAAUAACAAGGAGGUGGUUAGUUAAAAAGAGUGAAUGGGAUGCUGUCUGAAUUAUUUUGGAAACAGUUACUAGUGACAGCAAUCAGGCUUUCACAUGAUCUUUAUGACAUGUCUCAUUUGUUGCCUAGAUCCAUUUAAAGGACCUAGGAAAUGACCAAACCUGAAGCUUGGAUCAUUUACUUAAAAUUUCUAAAGACACAAGGGUCAGGCUCUAUUCACAUAGACAUUGCCAAACCAAAUCCCCAAACUUGUCAGCUUUUUUGUCCCUCUGCCUCUUCAUUCUCUAGACUGGGAACUUUACAUGAGCACUAACAGGCAGUCUAGUCCUGGUUUAGCACCUCCCCCACCCCACCCCAGACAUUGCUGAACAGACAUUCCCUCCAACUACCACCUGGUAUUUUCACAGAGCAGCUUCAGAAAAUCUAUUGAGCAAAAUAAGGAAGGAGACUUGCUCUAGUUGCAAUGUAGGAGGUCACAAGUUUAUAUUCCAUUUAUGCCUCCACUAAUUCUAUUUGUUUUCUUCGCAUUAGGUGUUCCAAGAUAAUGAAUACUUCCAUAGCAACAAAAGUCUGACAAUAAACGGUUACCUUGAUUUUCACAUUUUCAAAGAAAAAUCCCUCAAUGGCAACUAGACCAGAAGUCUCAACACUGAAUAUGCAAUAAUGGCUACAAGGUGAACAGUUUUUCUAUUCCAUUUUCUUAGCAACAUCAUUGAUUGAUUUUCUUGGAAAGGAAGUUAGAUUGGAUUAGAUGAUCUUUUUGUUUCAGUCAUGUAGCUUGUUAUUAGCAAUUAAUAUAUGCAGUAGCUUUUGAAACAACAUAAGUAAUAAGUGACUUCAGUAGAAAUUCAUUAUAUUCUAACACAAAUGAUUUAUAAAUGCAAUUUUAUUUUAAAAUUUCUAUCCUUUCUGUCUCCCUGAUUAUAAUUGUCAAAGUAUUCUGAUAGUAGAAAGUGUGUAUGACUGAAAAAAUGGUAUAAAAUAUUUCAGAUAUAGUAUAUAUUCUAUAGGUUGAAUUCAAAAGACUGCUGUCACUGUACAUUUUUUCCCUAACAAAUCAUCUUUUUUCUAUGCAUAACCUAUGGUGAGGCAACAUUCUUUACAUUGUGUUAAACAAGAAAAUACUUUGUAAUGAAUUAAAGUUAAGGAAAGACUACAUCUAUCAGCCACAAGGAACUUGAGUUCUGGCAAUUUUGAGGGUUUAAGGCUCACAGUUUUAGCAGCUAUGUCUGCAUAAGGACUUGAUUGGAUCAAAAUAAAGAACACAAACAUGAACAAGGGGCUCCCUGAAAAUUCAGAGCUUCAAUGAGUUCAGCACAAGUCCUAAAAGGACAUCUCCCUAAACAUUGACAUUAAACGUUUUUGCACUGGCUUGACUGGGUAUAACUUUAAAAUGAAAUACUAAGUGAAAUACCUGUAUAAUGAAAACUAUAAAACACUGACAAAAGAAAUUGAAGGGGACACCAAAAAAUGGAAAAAAUUCCAUGUUUAUGAAUUAGAAGAAUCAAUAUUAUUAAAAUGUUCAUAUUACCCAAAACAAUUUAGAGAUUCAAUGCACCCUCUAUCAAAAUACCAACGACAUUUGUAUCAAUCACAGUCCUCUAGAGGGACAGAAUAUGAUAUAUAUGUACAUAUAUCCUAUUAUAUAUGUGUGUCUAUAUCCCAUUAUAUGUAUACUGUUAUAUAUAUCCUAUUUUUU
rnacentral:lncRNA from 1 species